UACGGAGGGUGCGAGCGUUGUCCGGAAUCAUUGGGCGUAAAGAGCGUGUAGGCGGUUAUACAGGUCCGCUGUGAAAACUGGAGGCUUAACCUCCAGACGUCGGUGGAAACCGUAUGACUAGAGUCCGGAAGAGGAGAGUGGAAUUCCUGGUGUAGCGGUGAAAUGCGCAGAUAUCAGGAGGAACACCAAUAGCGAAGGCAGCUCGCUGGGACGUUUACUGACACUGAGGCGCGAAAGCGUGGGGGAGCGAACAGG
rnacentral:rRNA from 1 species